rnacentral:lncRNA from 1 species
UCUUGAGGUUCAUUGUUUCCGUAGUCUGAUAGUCAAAUCAAGGGGGGCAUAAAAGUGUCUCCUUUCUGAAUGUCUUCAUUUCUGCUUCUGUCUGUACAGUCUGGGGACUCUGGGAUGGACUCCCCAUGGGCCCGGGGUUGUCUGUGAUGCUCUAAUUAUUUGCUGGGGCUGCACCCACUUUCUUCUGGGGCCUUUGAGCCUUUCUCUGACUGCACAGGAUAUGAAAGACCCAUGAGUCAGCCCCUCUGUCAGCGGCUUCAGAUUGGGUUUCCGUUUCUCCGUAGCUAGACUUUGUGGGCUUCUUCCUGCUUCUGUGUGUCAUUUUGAGCUCAUGCAAGAGGCAGAACUACUGGCCUGGUUCCAGCAGCUCGGACUAGGCUGGCUUUAAAGCUGCCUCCCCCACCCCACCCCCAGUGGUCAGCCGAGAUUUCUCAUCUGUCACGUGGUCCUAGCGCUGGCUCCUCUGGAAUGCUGAGAGGCCACAUCUGGCUGUGACGAGGCUGCCACCUCCCCCUCCAGCUGCCAGGCUCCCACAUGUGCCUCUUCCGCCGCCGAGGUGGUGGUGGGGCUCCUUUGUGGGGUCAUUUCCUCUCUCUGCAUUGAUUGUCUAAUGUCCCUGCCUCCCCUCCAGGCCUUGAAAGGUUGUAAGUCGUGGGAGGGGAAGGCUUCUCUUUCUCCUGCAAGCUUCCUGUCCUGGCUGUAUUUUGCCCCUCCCCCAGGAGGGAUGUCUGAGCCCAGUGGCUGUAGAGAGAGCCUGGUUGUGCUGGGAAUUUGGUUGUGGAUUCCUCAGCCUGGGAGAUAAAGAUAAGACCCUGGGGUAGGGCUCAGGCCGAAGGAAGGGGCCUGAGUGUGGAUCAUUUCAUUCAUUCCUGCCCCCAGCCCCAUUCAUCCCCUCUCCCAUUCAUACACACACACACACACACACACACACACACACACACACACACACACACACACACACACACACACACUGCCCCCAUUCACCUUCAUACCCACCUAUCCAUCUACCUAUUCAUCUUCUGGUCUACCCAUCUAACCCAUGCCCUUUCAUUUAAUAAGGGUCAGCAAGAUGGCUCAGCAGGGAAAGGCGUUUUGCCACCACAUACCCCACAUGGUGGAGAGAACGGAUUCCCGUUCCAAUCGUUGACUAUCACACUCCUACCAAGAAGAGAUCGCAAGGCUGGCCUCUAGCUGUAGACUCAGCUCUCCCUUUGCAGAGAUCUUCUUUUCUCUAAUCCCUCCUUGCUUCAUCUAACCAGGGCCCAGGGUGCUCAGAGCAAGGUGAGGCUGCCCUCAGAUGCUGGCAUGGUGAAGAGGGUGGAGGUGGCCUCACUUAGAGCCCUAUCGUUAUCCCUGGCUUCAUUCUUAGAAGAGAGCUCUGAGCGGUAUUGAUGCCCAGGCCAUCUGAGAGGAUAUAUCCUGGUCCCUCAGUCUGCCUUAAAUCUGUGGCGGCAUUCUGAGAGAGAAAAGCCUCGGAGGAGGAGGAAGAGGAGCAGGCUAACCCUUGCCUGGAGGCUAACAUUCUUCCUCAUCUUCAACAUGGGAGCAGUCCUUGGGGGAUUAAACGCUCCCAGUAUAAGAACACACCUUCCUCUCCGGUUCUUGCAUCUGCCACACCACACUUAGAAGUCAGACGAACUGAGUGUCAGGACAAAAUAGAACCAACCACCCAUCUGCUCACAGGUGGUCUCUUGAAGGUGACCCCAGCCCCCUGGUCUAGCUCAGAGCCACAUCCUGAUAGGAGUCUUGGGAACAAAGGCUUUCAGGAUUUCGGUGAAGCUGGAUCCUGGGGAAGAUAUACCACCUGCCUGUCCCCUGAUAACCCAGGCAGCCAGUGGCUGAAGGGCAGAGAUUUCUGCACUGUCAACGUGGCAGCCAGCUGUGCCAGAUUUUUCUGCUGCCACCCCUGGGAAGGGCAUCUCUUCGGGGCAGUGGGCUCAAUCUGUGUAGCCAGCUGCUGCCCACAUUCAGGGUCUGGUUUUUUUUUUUUUUUUUUGUCUCCUGUGGGGCAGAGAACCAGAUGCACACCUACUCCAGCUUUGGAAGUAAAAGACUCAGGAAAUUAUUCCUGCAAACUCAUCUUCAGGAUGCAGCCUGAGAAACGCGAUGGAAUUAGAUGCAGGGUCUGGGGUGAGAGGGAGGGGAGCCGGGAGGUGGAGACACUGCAUAGUGUGGAUACACAGAGUCAUAGGUAGGUUUGCACCACCUGGGAGCUGUCUGCCUCCUCAGACUUGCUGCAUUGGGUUUUAUGUGGGGGCAAGAUGGCCGAGUGGUUUGCCUGCAGGAACUAGGCGCUGAGCGAGGUUCAGGUCCCAGCUCCUUAUUCCCAGCUGUGUGACUUUGGAAAAGUUACAUCAUUUCUCUGAACCCCAGCUCUGUCACCAGCCAAGUAGUUCUGGAUAAAAACCUGAAAGGCGCUGGGCGUGGUGGCGCACGCCUUUAAUCCCAGCACUUGGGAGGCAGAGGCAGGUGAAUUUCUGAGUUCGAGGCCAGCCUGGUCUACAGAGUGAGUUCCAGGACAGCCAGGGCUACACACAGCCCUGUCUCGAAACAAAACAAAACAAAACCC